AACCCCGCCGCUCCCUUUUAUGGAGGCUCAUUGUCAGCGUCCGUCCGGCAGUCCCGCCUCCAGACCAGGCUGGCCAAUCACGUGAGGACACGCCCCCUAGCCCCGCCCCAGCCACAGGUCUGGGCCAGAACCCUGUGCAGCGCGUUUGUCUCUGGCCGGUUUGCUCGGCGGCGAAGCCUGGAGUUUUCCUGGGAGCGGCGCCGGCAGCCUUGGAGACCCGGUAGGGCAUCCCCACCAAUGGCUGGAGGAAAGGGCUGCUCGGCAUCUUACUUCUUGGCUUUCCCCUGACUAGCUGCCUGCCUGGGAGGCAACACAGACGAGAAAAGACCGGUGGGGAUGUGUGAAGGAUACAUAGGCUCAGAAGUGUGGAGACAUCUCUUCUAAUUUCUUUGGGCCUCGUUCCUUUCUACUAGCACAUACGCUUUAGGGAAAGAAAAAUCACUUUGGAUCCUCCUAAACAAAGAUUCUAGAAGAUGAAGAGGACAAGAGUGGCGUGUGGGCGUGUGUAAACCGCUUCCGAUGGAUAUAAUUUACGUUAAAAACAAAACAAAACAAAAAA